GGGUGAUGGCGUGCCUUUUGUAGAAUGAACCGGCGAGUUACGUUCCCGUGCAAGGUUAAGGUGAAGAGCUGAAGCCGCAGCGAAAGCGAGUCUGAAUAGGGCGAAUGAGUACGUGGACGUAGACCCGAAACCGGGUGAUCUACCCCUGUCCAGGGUGAAGGUGCGGUAACACGCACUGGAGGCCCGAACCCACGCAUGUUGAAAAAUGCGGGGAUGAGGUGGGGGUAGCGGAGAAAUUCCAAUCGAACCCGGAGAUAGCUGGUUCUCCCCGAAAUAGCUUUAGGGCUAGCCUCGGAAAGAAGAAUCGUGGAGGUAGAGCACUGAUUGGGUGCGGGGCCCGCAAGGGUUACCAAGCUCAGUCAAACUCCGAAUGCCAUAGAUUUAGUUCCGGGAGUCAGACAGUGAGUGCUAAGAUCCAUUGUCGAAAGGGAAACAGCCCAGACCAUCAGCUAAGGUCCCCAAGUGUGUGUUAAGUGGGAAAGGAUGUGGAGUUGCACAGACAACCAGGAUGUUGGCUUAGAAGCAGCCACCAUUGAAAGAGUGCGUAAUAGCUCACUGGUCGAGUGACUCUGCGCCGAAAAUGUAACGGGGCUAAACACACCACCGAAGCUAUGGCUUGAUGCUUGCAUCAGGGGUAGGGGAGCGUUGAAUGCGGGUUGAAGGUGUACCGGAAGGAGCGCUGGACUGCAUUCAAGUGAGAAUGCCGGUAUGAGUAACGAAAAGAUCUGUGAGAAUCAGAUCCGCCGAAAGCCUAAGGGUUCCUGAGGAAGGUUCGUCCGCUCAGGGUAAGUCGGGACCUAAGGCGAGGCCGAUAGGCGUAGUCGAAGGACAACAGGUCGAAAUUCCUGUACCACCGUAAUCCG
rnacentral:rRNA from 1 species